rnacentral:pre_miRNA from 1 species
CCGUUCCCUGUGUGCUGCUCUGGCAGUGUGGAUAGCUGGCCGUUCUGAUUAUAACAGCCACUGUCAGCACUACCGUAACAACGCACGGACUGUCGACACUA